rfam:Dipodomys ordii contig_52401, whole genome shotgun sequence.
GGCGCUGUGGCUCAAUUGGUAGAGCAUUAGACUUGAUCUGAAGAGCUGAGGGACAGCGCCC